GGUUAAGUGAAUAAGGGCGCACGGUGGAUGCCUUGGCACUAGGAGCCGAUGAAGGACGGGACUAACACCGAUAUGCUUUGGGGAGCUGUACGUAAGCUAUGAUCCAGAGAUUUCCGAAUGGGGAAACCCAACAUCUUUUAUAGGAUGUUACGUUUGCGUGAAUACAUAGCGCAUUCGAGGUAGACGCAGAGAACUGAAACAUCUAAGUACCUGCAGGAAGAGAAAGAAAAUUCGAUUCCCUGAGUAGCGGCGAGCGAAACGGGAAAAGCCCAAACCAAUGAGCUUGCUCAUUGGGGUUGUAGGACUCCAAUAUGGUAGUUCUUUCAGAUAAUCGAAUGACUUGGAAAAGUCAGUCAAAGAGGGUAAAAACCCCGUAGAUGAAAUUUGGAAGGCACCUAGGAGGAUCCUGAGUACGGCGGAACACGAGGAAUUCCGUCGGAAUCCGGGAGGACCAUCUCCCAAGGCUAAAUACUCCCUAGUGACCGAUAGUGAACCAGUACCGUGAGGGAAAGGUGAAAAGCACCCCGGAAGGGGAGUGAAAUAGAACCUGAAACCGUGUGCCUACAACAAGUCAAAGCCCGUUAAUGGGUGAUGGCGUGCCUUUUGUAGAAUGAACCGGCGAGUUACGAUUGCAUGCGAGGUUAAGUCGAAGAGACGGAGCCGCAGCGAAAGCGAGUCUGAAUAGGGCGUUUGAGUAUGUAGUCGUAGACCCGAAACCAUGUGAUCUACCCAUGUCCAGGUUGAAGGUGCGGUAAAACGCACUGGAGGACCGAACCCACGUACGUUGAAAAGUGCGGGGAUGAGGUGUGGGUAGCGGAGAAAUUCCAAACGAACUUGGAGAUAGCUGGUUCUCUCCGAAAUAGCUUUAGGGCUAGCCUCGGAUUUGAGAAUGAUGGAGGUAGAGCACUGUUUGGACUAGGGGCCCAUCUCGGGUUACCGAAUUCAGAUAAACUCCGAAUGCCAUUCAUUCAUAUCCGGGAGUCAGACUGUGAGUGAUAAGAUCCAUAGUCGAAAGGGAAACAGCCCAGACCACCAGCUAAGGUCCCAAAAUAUAUGUUAAGUGGAAAAGGAUGUGGGGUUGCACAGACAACUAGGAUGUUGGCUCAGAAGCAGCCACCAUUUAAAGAGUGCGUAAUAGCUCACUAGUCGAGUGACCCUGCGCCGAAAAUGUACCGGGGCUAAACAUAUUACCGAAGCUGUGGAGUACACCAUGAGGUGUAUUGGUAGGAGAGCGUUCUAAGGGCGUUGAAGGCAGAUCGUGAGGACUGCUGGAGCGCUUAGAAGUGAGAAUGCCGGUAUGAGUAGCGAAAGACAGGUGAGAAUCCUGUCCACCGAAUGACUAAGGUUUCCUGGGGAAGGCUCGUCCGCCCAGGGUUAGUCGGGACCUAAGCCGAGGCCGACAGGCGUAGGCGAUGGACAACAGGUUGAUAUUCCUGUACUCGUUGUUUUUGUUUGAGCAAUGGAGGGACGCAGGAGGCUAAGGAAUGCAGACGAUUGGAAAUGUCUGUCCAAGCAGUAAGUCUUGAUAGGAGUCAAAUGCUUCUGUCUACACGGAUAAGCUGUGAUGGGGAGGGAAAUAAUAGUACCGAAGUUCCUGAUGUCACACUGCCAAGAAAAGCUUCUAGUGAUAAAACAAUGACCCGUACCGCAAACCGACACAGGUAGUCGAGGAGAGAAUCCUAAGGUGAGCGAGAGAACUCUCGUUAAGGAACUCGGCAAAAUGACCCCGUAACUUCGGGAGAAGGGGUGCUGAUCUUC
rnacentral:ncRNA from 1 species